AAAUAACACAACUGUCGUGAAAAGGCAUCCUUAUUUUAGCGUUGUGCGAAAUUUCGUCUCUAGAUUCCACUCCGAUGGCCUGAUAUUAACACGAUUUUCAGACCAUAUUUAUUUUUUGGUGGUUACCAAAAAAUCCGCUAUGGCCUACUCGGAGUUAUUCCGAGCAGUUCCGAAAGCCUACGAAAGUAAACGGAGCACAAGCACGUGACAGUUAUGAAUAAUCAAUGAGGUCAGCAAAUCAAAACAAAGAUGGACAGAUGAAAAUGAAAAGAGAAACAGAGGCAGACAGAGAUUGCCAAAAUCGAUCAGAAAGCGACGGUAAAUGAAAAAUGUAGGAAAGAUAUUGACGUCGAUGGUUUAUUUAGGCAUUGAUUGAAAGAAAAGGAUAGCAUUCAAAGCUUCAAAUGGAGUGGGAAAAUGGAGGGCGUGGAAACGAAACAUCACGAUAGUAUCUUUUCACAUCACGCUUCAAGACUCCGAUGUCAGGAGGCUGGUGAUGUCACAGAUUUUAACCUGGCUUGAACAUGCCAAGUGUACUGGCAUCUCAGCUGUUCUUCUCCAUCAUUUGACGGAUGAGCAUGAGUGGCCUCCCCCGAUUCAAUAUUAUGAGUAAAGUCAUGGGCCAUUGAGCCAAGAGGAGAGGAAUUCACCAUGGCUUAACAAUAAAAAAACACUUUAGUACCCUUAAAGCCCUCAGAGUGAUUGUCCUUGACAACCACCUUCCAUCAAAGAUGCAUACUAUCUAGUAUACAGACUAAACCGUGCAUGGAACAAUAGAAGAGGAUGGCAAUAUUCCCCAGUAAACGCAGUGAAAGAAAAAAGACCUAUCCAUACAGAGUCGCUGAAGAAACUGAUCUUCAUGUGUCACUUGACCAACAAUUUUU